UCCACCUCAUCUUGUAAGGCAGGCUUGAUGCUUUCGCUUGUCGACUGGGCAGACUGGGUUGAGUAAAUCUGUGGGACACCUCCCCUGAUGGAGGGGGGAUAACUAGCUCGAAAACGGUAGCUAAUAUCGCCAUAACCGUCGCAAGACCCAAAGAGGGGGACCUUCGGGCCUCUCGCGCAUGGAGAUGUGCCCCAGAUGGGAUUAUUUAGUAGGUGGGGUAACGGCUCACCUAGGCGACGAUCCAUAGCUGGUUUGAGAGGAUGACCAGCCACACUGGAAGUGAGACACGGUCCAGACUCUUACGGGAGGCAGCAGUGGGGUAUUUUGCACAAUGGGCACAUGCGUGAUGCAGCCAUGCCGCGAGUAUGAAGAAGGCUUUGGUGUUGUAAAGUACUUUCAGCGGGGAGGCAGGCGAUAAGGUUAUUAACCUGGUCGAUGGACGUUACUAGCCGAAGAAGCACCGGUUAAUUCCGUGCCAGCAGCCGCGUUAAUACUGAGGGUCCAAGCGUUUAUGGAAAUUACUGGGCUUAAAGCGCAGCCGGGCGGUUUGUCAAUUCGGAUGUGAAAUCCCCGGGUUCACCGUGGGAGGUCCAUUGGAAAUGGGCAGCUUGGAUUCAGAUGGAGGGAGGUGAAUUUCCAGUGGUACCGUGAAAUGGGUUGGGGAUUGGGAGGACUCCCGUGGCGGAGGGGGCUCUCUGGUACAAAGCCUGCCGUUAGGAGUGCGAAGCGUGGGGGACCAACCAGGUUUGGUUACCUGGUUAUUCCCCGCGUUAACGGAGAUUGAUAAGGAUAGGGGGCUUUGAGGCGUUACUGCUCGCAGCUAACGCAGUUAAGUCACUACCGCCUGGGAUCCCCCCCCCCCCCUUCUGUUCC
rnacentral:rRNA from 1 species